rnacentral:lncRNA from 1 species
UUUUUUUUUUUUUUUUUUUGUCUUUUCCAGACAAGGUUUCUCUGUGUAGCCCUGGCUGUCCUGGAACUCACACCUGUAGACUAGGCUGGCCUCGAAAUCAGAAAUCUGUCUGCCUCUGCCUCCCAAGUGCUUAGAUUAAAGGCAUGUGCCACCACUGCCCAGCAGGGCAUUUCUUAAUGAGUGACUGAAGUGGAAGGUGCCCAGCCCAUUCUAGAUGUGGGUGGUGCCCUUCCCUGGGCUGGUAGUCCUGGGUUCUAUAAGAAAGCAGGCUGAGCAAACCAUGGAGAGCAAGAUAGUAAGCAGCACCCUUCCGUGGCCACUGCAUCAGCUCCUGCCUCCAGGUUCCUGCUCUCACUUCAAGGAUGAGCUGUAAUGAUGAGCAUAAGCCAAAUAAUCCCUUUCCUCUCUGAGUUGCAUUUGGUCACUUUUUUUUUUUCUUUUUAAAUCACGGCAGUAGUAAACAUGACUAAGACACCAAGGCAAUGCCUCUGGUCUGGAAGACUGUUCUCUGAGACAUAAGGCAGAAAGUGCUUGUGGGUUAGGGAGGGAAUAAACACAUCUGUGUACUUGGUACAUGCAAUAUUGGUGACCAUAGUGAGACACAUAAAAGCUGCUAGGGCAAUUGAUCUCAUCACUGUUUGUAAUAGGACCAUUGAGGGACCUUAAAAAACAUCCUACACAAAUGGGUUAGUCAUGUUAGUAGUGCAAAAGUCUCCAGGUGAUCCAAACACAACUAGAUUGGAAACCACUGCUUCGGGCCUCUUCCCUAACUGGAACCGACAUUAGCCUGGUUGCACAGAAAGAAGCUCUCAUGUGGCUGAGGGGCAGGUUUUAGGUGUCCUCUAGGUUACUCUAGGCAAAUGCAUGAUUCUACGAAGCAGCCAGAAACUGUGUUUUAAUCAACACCUGUACCAGUAGGGGUCACUGUGGUAAAAGAUAUAAACUAGAGGAAAAAAAUGAAAAAUCUCUUCAGGAAUUUUGAUGCAGUAUGCCACGGAAGAACUAUUAAGUUAGACCAAGUAACUACUAAGACAACAUAUACCUCUAGCCAUGAUUAUUGUCUCAAAGCAUUCGAAGGCUCUGCUUUGGGGUACAUCAUACAUUUAUAAUUGUUAUGCUACUGUGUGUGUGUGUGUGUGUGUGUGUGUGUGUGUACACAAACAGAACAGAGGACAGCUUUAUGAGUAGGUCCUCUUCUACAGCUUUGUCUGAGGCAGUUUGGUUCACUGCUGCUGACCCACACGUUUUUGGAAGUUCUGUGUUGGGAUUCCCCUUAUGAACCACAUAAACACCGAUCUCAGUCAGACAGAGAUAGUUUGUUGAGCAUACAUCCCAGGACUGGUUGACCAGGGCCAUGGUCCAGAUUUGGGAAUGGAACCAUGACAUUGAGUUGGAAGAUCCUACAGGGUUUUUUUUUUUUUUUUUUAAGAUUUAUUUAUUGUUAUAUGUAAGUACACUGUAGCUGUCUUCGGGCACUACUAUCUGAAGAGGAUGUCAUGCUGAUCUCAUUACGGAUGGUUGUGAGCCACCAUGUGGUUGCUGGGAUUUGAACUCAGGACCUUUGGAAGAGCAGUCAGUGCUCUUAACCACUGAGCCAUCUCUCCAGCCCCUCCUACAGGGUUUUUAAGCCCCAAAUCCACAAACAUCUAUGCCAAGUUAUUUUACCAAUCAGGAUUUAGGGAUAGGGGAUUUCCGUAGGAACAUGUUUUUGUUGUACAUGUAUCCUGCUCCCUUUGGUUGGUGUAUUCAACCGUGGCAGGGGACUUGCCUUAUCGAACAUUCAUGUCUUAACUUGUCAACCAGGAUGUCAGUUACCCAUGCAUAUUUCUCUUUUUGCCAAAUAAGAUGUCAGUUCCCAGGGAGGCCUUGGGAACUUAAACUUUACUAGACCACUACUCAAAAACUCAAAAUGGAAGUCUUAUUCCAAAUAUAUAUUGGUACAGGUGUCUCUCUUAUGUUGGGGUCCAAGCUUAUUGGGAAUAACAACACAAAGCAGUUCUACUGACUUCUAUCAUGAUUUGUUUUCAAGAACAUAACAAUAUGCAAUCAAUCUUGGCAUUAGAAAGUUUUCUAGUAACAGUAGAAAUAUAUGAGAAAGUUUCCUUAUAAUAGCAGGCUAGCCAAGUAACUGCUACCUAGGCCUUAACAUUUCAUGUAGGCCUUAAUAUUUUACCUAGGUUCCUCCCCCCACCACACCAAGGUCUUAACAGAUAACUACUUGAACUCUCUUAGGAUUAUUGUUUAUAUAGAGUAUCUUUUUCCAUCUAUUUCAUCUUAUUUUUGUUUGAGGAUCAAAAGAUUAAGCUCG